UAGGGGCACAGGGUCUAAAGAAAAAGAAAUCAAAUCUUUGGAGCCUUUCCUCAAAACCUUUUCAGGAGUGUCCUAGAAUUGUUCUCAGAGGAUUUUUCAUCAUAGAAUAAGAGAAUAUAAGAGGGCUCCUCACCUUCAAGCUUCUCUUCCGAUGUCAGUCAUGUUAAUUGGAGAUGAACGAGCAUUUGGCUGUGGUUGUGGAGAGUUAUAGAUGCUAUACACACCACGGUUUCUGCCUUGAGUUCCUGCCCUGGCUUCCCUCAGUGUAAGGCCAGCAAGCCCUGUCCUACCCAGGGUGUUUUUGGCCUUGUUUUUUAUCGCAGAAAGAAAAAGCAAAUGAAGACAGAGAUCUCCCACUUUUUCUUUGAGACAGGGUCUCUCACGGCUUGGAACAUCAU